AAGAGAGAAGAGAAUUGAGAAAUGUAGUUUUCUGAAAUUUCCAAGAGGCGAGGGAAAGGCAAAGUAUUUGUCCCUAGUCAAGUGCUUGGCACAGAGUAAGCUGGUGAUAAUUUGGCAUGUUUACAUCAGAAUUGCUCACUUAUUUUCUCUACUCAGCCUAGGCAAAGAUAUCCUUUGGAAAACUGCCAGAUAUCUCCCCUAAAAAAAUUAUACAUCAUUCUCUGUGAAGAAAUGCCCACUUAGCAAAAUCCAGCUGGAACUCAAGCAAAAAGCCAUAGUCUUAGUGGCUUGAGAUAUCAGGUGAUAGAGUUUGGGAUUGCCAUAGUGACUGGAAAUUGAGUGUUGUUACCUGUAUUAUACAUUGUAAGUAUUAUACUGUAUUAUACAUUUUACUGUAUGUAUAAAAUAUUUAUAUGCAUAUAAAGAAGGGGUUUUUUUACUUUUUUUUUACUUACAAUAUAAAUAUUGGUUAGAUGCUUCAGCUAGAGUGCUC
rnacentral:lncRNA from 1 species